AGCAUUUCAACUUGAGAGUUUGAUCCUGGCUCAGAACGAACGCUGGCGGCAGGCCUAACACAUGCAAGUCGAGCGCACCUUCGGGUGAGCGGCGGACGGGUUAGUAACGCGUGGGAACGUGCCCAGAUCUGCGGAAUAGCCACUGGAAACGG
rnacentral:rRNA from 1 species